GCACGUUCUAGGGGAAAAGGGAGGGUGCAAGUCUGGUUACUGUGUUUUCAUGGACCCAUUCCCUAGCAAGGAGGUGGGUUUGAGGUCUGGGGAACAGCAUGCAGGUCCCUGCCCAGUUAUUUCCACAAGAAUGGGAAGGAGAGUGAAAUCCUGGAGAGGGAGAGAUGAUUUGGUGGAGCAAGGCUGCCAGGGGCCUGGAUGAUAAUCUGGAGCAGGCAUCAUUAUCUGACUAUAAGGAGAGUGACCAGCAUGUUGGCAAUAAAGAAUAGUUAAGCAA